rnacentral:rRNA from 1 species
AUGUCGGCGGACGAGUUGCGGCUGGACCUGGAGGAGCUGCUGCGGCUGGAGGGCCUCGCCAAGCGCCCCCGCGUCGUCUCCCUCCUCUCCAACGAGAUCCGCAGCGUCGACGCCAAGCUGGCCUCGCGGGCUGCGCCUGUGCCUGUGCCGACGCCCGCGCCGCAGGCGGUCGCGGUCGCGGCGGCGGCCCCUGCUGGUCUGAGCUAUGUCACGCUGGGGUCAUUCAGCUGGGACCAGGACAAUGAGAAGAUCAGGGUCUACGUAUUCCUUGAGAAUGUCGACCAAGAGAAGGUGGAGACUACUUUCAAGCCAAUGUCAGCGGACAUCAAGUUUCAUGAUGUUAAAGGCAAGAACUAUAGGUGUGCCAUCCCAAAACUGAACAAAGAAAUAGUUCCUGAGAAAUGCAAGGUUGUGGUCAAGCCUACGAAGAUUGUCAUCACCCUGUGGAAAGCUUCUUCCGGCAAUUGGUUGGAUCUACACUACAAGGAAGACAAGUUUAAGCCAAGCAUGGACAAAGAGAAGGAUCCCAUGUCAGGAAUUAUGGAUUUAAUGAAGGGCAUGUAUGAGGAAGGUGAUGAAGAUAUGAAGCGCACAAUAGCCAAAGCGUGGUCUGACGCCAGGUCUGGGAAGACGGCUGAUCCAAUGAAGGGAUUGCCUUGA